rnacentral:rRNA from 1 species
GCUUGUCUCAAAGAUUAAGCCAUGCAUGUCUUAGUGUAAAUAACUCUUAUGAAACUGCGAAUGGCUCAUUAAAUCAGUUAUCAAAUACGUGAUGGUCGCCUACUACAUGGAUAACCGUAGUAAUUCUAGAGCUAAUACAUGCGUCAAGUCCCAACCGCAAGGAAGGGAUGUAUUUAUUAGAUACAAAACCAAUGGGUGGCAACACUCUCACUGGUGACUCAUAGUAACUUCACGAAUCGCAUGGCUUCGGCCGGCGAUAGUUCAUUCAAAUUUCUGCCCUAUCAGCUUUCGACGGUAGUGUAGUGGACUACCGUGGCGUUAACGGGUGACGGAGAAUUAGGGUUCGAUUCCGGAGAGGGAGCCUGAGAAACGGCUACCACAUCCAAGGAAGGCAGCAGG